AUUGAACGCUGGCGGCGGGCCUAACACAUGCAAGUCGAGCGGAGCUUCGAACGGGUGGUUACUGCCUAGGAAUCAGCCUGGUGGUGGGGGAUAACGUCCGGAAACGUGCGCUUAUACAGCAUACUUUCAGAUCAGCCUCGGUUGCAUGUGCUAGUUGGUGGGGUAAUGGCCUACCAAGGUGACGAUGCGUAGCUUUGCUGAGAGGAUGAUCAGUCACACUGGAACGGAGACACGGUCCAGAAUCCUACGGGAGGCAGCAGUGGGGAAGAUUGGACAAUGGACGAAAGCCUGAUCCAGCCAUGCCGCGUGAGUGAAGAAGGUCUUCGGAUUGUAAAGCUCUUUAAGUUGGGAGGCGUUACCAACAGAGUAAGCACCGGCUAACUUCGUGCCAGCAGCCGCGGUAAUUC
rnacentral:rRNA from 1 species